AACCUAGCACACCUGCGGUGUGUACCUGCGGAAGGAUCAUUACCUAGAGUUGUAGGCUUUGCCUGCUAUCUCUUACCCAUGUCUUUUGAGUACCUUACGUUUCCUCGGCGGGUUCGCCCGCCGGUUGGACAAAACUUAAACCCUUUGUAGUUGCAAUCAGCGUCUGAAAAAACUUAAUAGUUACAACUUUUAACAAUGGAUCU
rnacentral:misc_RNA from 1 species